AUAAAGUUUUCUUUAUUGGGGUUGCGGACAUAUCAUAACGAAGAGGUAUCGUAAUUGAAGAGGUUUGGAAAGACCCACCACAGAAGGUAAUAGUCCUGUAUGUUAAACGAGAAGACUUUAGAUAUGAUCCAGAGUACCACGGGACACGUGAAACCCUGUGGGAAGCAGGAGGGACCACCCUCCAAGGCUAAAUACUACCUAGUGACCGAUAGCGUAUAGUACCGUGAGGGAAAGGUGAAAA
rnacentral:rRNA from 1 species